rnacentral:rRNA from 1 species
UACGGGGGGGGCAAGCGUUGUUCGGAAUUACUGGGCGUAAAGGGAGCGUAGGCGGACAGUUUAGUCAGAGGUGAAAGCCCCGGGCUCAACCUGGGAAUGGCGAUGGAUACUGGCUCGCUAGAGUGCGGUAGAGGAGAGUGGAAUUCCCGGUGUAGCAGUGAAAUGCGUAGAGAUCGGGAGGAACAUCAGUUGCGAAGGCGGCUCUCUGGACCAGCACUGACACUGGAGGCACGAAAGCGUGGGGAGCAAACAGG